ACGUGUCAUACAGUUUCCCGGAUUUUUAGCCAUACAGGCACAGCAUUCGGCCCCCAGGCCAUACAGUUUGGCACUUUGUGCUAUACAGAUACAGUUUUCCCUUAGCUAGCUAGUUGAUCCUACGAAGAGUUUAUAGGGGCUAAGAUUUAAUUAUAUGACUUGUUAAUGCUUUGCUAGCAUGCACACAAGAUGGUUACCAGAAUAUGAAUGACU
rnacentral:lncRNA from 1 species